GCUUGUCUCAAAGAUUAAGCCAUGCAUGUCUAAGUAUAAGCAACCUUAUACAGCGAAACUGCGUACAGCUCAUUAUAUCAGCAAUUAUUUAUUUGAAGAUCACCUAUUACAUGGAUAACCGUGGUAAUUCUAGAGCUAAUACAUGCGAAAAGACGGGCCGCAAGGCUUGUUGUAUUUAUUAGAUACAAAACCAAUGCCCUUCGGGGCUCCUUGGUGAUUCAUGAUAACUAUACGAAUCGCACGGCCUUGCGCCGGCGAUGGUUCAUUCAAAUUUCUUCCCUAUCAACUUUCGAUGUUUGGGUAUUGGCCAAACAUGGUUGCAACGGGUAACGGAGGGUUAGGGCUCGACCCCGGAGAAGGAGCCUGAGAAACGGCUACUACAUCCAAGGAAGGCAGCAGG
rnacentral:rRNA from 1 species